rnacentral:rRNA from 1 species
GAUGAACGCUGGCGGCGUGCCUAAUACAUGCAAGUCGAGCGAACGGACGAGAAGCUUGCUUCUCUGAUGUUAGCGGCGGACGGGUGAGUAACACGUGGAUAACCUACCUAUAAGACUGGGAUAACUUCGGGGAACCGGAGCUAAUACCGGAUAAUAUUUUGAACCGCAUGGUUCAAAAGUGAAAGACGGUCUUGCUGUCACUUAUAGAUGGAUCCGCGCUGCAUUAGCUAGUUGGUAAGGUAACGGCUUACCAAGGCAACGAUGCAUAGCCGACCUGAGAGGGUGAUCGGCCACACUGGAACUGAGACACGGUCCAGACUCCUACGGGAGGCAGCAGUAGGGAAUCUUCCGCAAUGGGCGAAAGCCUGACGGAGCAACGCCGCGUGAGUGAUGAAGGUCUUCGGAUCGUAAAACUCUGUUAUUAGGGAAGAACAUAUGUGUAAGUAACUAUGCACAUCUUGACGGUACCUAAUCAGAAAGCCACGGCUAACUACGUG